GGUAAAAUGGCUGAGUGAUAGGCAAUAAAUUGUAAAUUUAUGAACGAAUUAGUAUUCUUUUAUCA
rnacentral:tRNA from 1 species